UCUUCUCUUUCUCCAUAGUCUUCUCGGUAUGUUUAAUUAAGUAGAAAGUUUGUAGCUUUUCUUAUGUUUAUUGUUUCGGUGAUGAAUUGUCGCUAUAUAUGUUGUUUUUGUUCAAUUUGUUGAAUUUGACAUAAGUAUUCUGGCUUUUAUAUGAGUUUUGUAUAUAUCAUGAAUUUUGUUAAAAUUAAUCUGAUGUUAACUACAGUGAUAAUUAAGUGAUAACUAUUAUAAUUAUUGUGAUUUAUGUGAUUCUAUGAUUUUUGUGUUUAUUAACUUAUUAUUGUGAUUGCUGUGAUUAUUUAUUGUAAUUAUUGAUUAUUUAUCUUGUAUAGUCGGCUCAAAAAUGUGGGGAUUCAUCUUUUGUUAAUCGUGGAUUUAGAUGUGACUUCUGUUGGUAGUGCUAAUGUAUCUUUUAGCUGUAAUGAAGAAUUCACGACAAGUUAUUUGAUUUCAGCUGGUGGUCAAAGGUUCUAUCAUGUACAACCAUAUAGUGUGCUGCACUAUUUCAUAUUGAGUUAGUUUAGAAUAUUUGCCAUAUUUAUCAAUAGCUCUAGUAAGUGUUCAUGUCAUUGAUGCGUUUGUCUUGGCUUCAGUGUUGAUGCUCAGUAAUUGCCCAACUUUGUGCCCACACCAUUAAUUUAUCACCAGAUAUGUAUUCCUUUGCUUUAUGCGGUUGUAAUUGAGUGUUCUGUAGAAACAGUUUUGUGAGCUUGUAGGCGCUUAAGAGUUGACACAAUUUGGAAGGUGUCAGUUCGUAAAGACCAUGUUGUUAGUUAUUGCAAGAAGUUAGUUUGCUCUUGGCGGCUUUAGGGACCUCCAAAUUUUAGAAGUUUCUGGGAUUGCUGCGUUGCUGUUGCCUGGUUUCUUUGUCACAAGUUGGUAAAUUAUUUUGUUGGGGUUAUUCUGUUUUUAAUAUAUACUUGGUGGCUUGGAUUAUUGGUCUCUAAUAGUUCUGGUAUGCUGGUUGUUUUGCUAUAGUUUUUGAAGAAGGAAGUUGUUAUUUUGUUGGCUCUUUGCUGACUGGUGCGGCUGGCUUAUGUGGGGAUCUAGUGUAGAUUGCUUUUAUUUGUAGAUUAGUUGUGUGCAGAAGUGGCAUUGUCUUUGUGUUUUCGAAAUUUCUAGUCAGAUCUGGUGCUUGAAGAAUUCUGUUAUGAGUGUUCCUGUGGAGGAGUAUUUUUAAUUCUUGGCAGGGAGUUUUUGGUUGCUUUAGAGGUCUGGUAUGGAAGUUAUUGUCAUUCUUGCUAUGGCUGGGUUGUUCUGGGUCUCGUGUUCUUGUUGCUGCUGUGAUUGAGUUCUGCAAAUCGAGAUAUUUUUGGCUGAUUUUAGGAGAAUUUUUAUUUUUAGUCAUAUUGAUUAUUUGUUUGUUGUGGCAGUUGCAGUUUCGACAAGUCCAGGGGCGUUGUUGCUUGGGUGUUUCUAGUUUUGUGUAUUUUCUGCAUGUUGUGUUUUUUCAGUGGAGUUGGCCGUGGGUUUCGGGUAGAAUGCUAGUGUGCAUCCAGAGUGUUUUAGUGAAUUGUUUUGUGGCACUCGGCUUGUUUUCAGUUCUUUAUUGUUGGGAUGGUGUAUGUUCUGCAGGUUGGAGUUUUAUUGUUUUCUCUGGGAAGACUUGCCUGCUGUGCUUGGUAGUCGUUUAUUUAAAUUAUUUCAGCUGCUUUUGUCUCCUCUGGGAGUCUAAUGUUGAGGGUUUUAAUGUUAAUCAAUUCUUCUGCUCCAUUUUAUGCUUCCGAGGCUGCUGCUAUUCUAUUGAUUGGGGUUCAGGAGUUGGUGUUUUAUUUGUAAAUCAAUGUAUCUGGUUCAUAAUUUAGGUGGUAGCUCCCUUGAUUGAUUUAGAGGUGGAGCAGCUGUGUGGGAGGUCUAGCACUCAUAAUCAGUGGAGUGAUUGCUUUUUAUCUAUCUGGAGGUGUUCGCUUGUGUUCAUCUGGUUGGCUUUUUUUUUUCUUUUCUCCGUUGGAGGCUUUGUAUUUUCAACUUUUAGUAUUGUUUUGGUGUUGCCUCUUUGAGUGAUGUUCUUAGAGGGAUUUUUUUUU